UUUCUUUUUACUGGAAGGACCUUAAAAAAACCAAGCUUGGUGAUAUGGGAAGGAGUGACCAAAAAAGCCAAGACCGGCUGCAAGUCGGCAAGAACAGCGGCCAAAGUCAGAAGAUAUCAAAGUUGACAUUGUGCACUGCAUUAAAAAUAGCAAAACAGCGUCGGCGGCGAGCAAAACAAACAGCGACAAAGUUGACCAUCCAUGACAACACUUCUCAAGGCUAUGGCUGGCUGCUUCCUGGGUGGCUCGCUGAAGAGCGCCAAAUGGAGUCCGGCAGGAUCUACAGGUACUACUAUGACCCUUCUGGACGUUUGUACCGCAGCCAACAUGAAGUAAUCCAUGCUUGGGAGGAGCAGGGUAUUGUGGUCCUUGACAAGUAAUCAAGCAAAAGGUUAUGAAGCUCCAAAAGUUAAUGACAAUGUACUUGCCCAAGAAUAUAACAGAGCAGUAGCAUUUAAAUAAAAGCAUAAAACUAUUGUAAUAAACUCUAUCAAUCUAGCAGUGGUAUUUAUAUGAAAGCGUAAAACUAAUAAAUUCCAUCAGUCUACAUGGAUAUGGCAUUUCGUGGAUCUUUAACUAGUUUGGACAAUUCCUCAUCGAUUUCGCUGAUUGUAAUCUAUUUUUGCUUCUGUGAUUUGGGAAUUUUUAAGGGUCAUUUUCCAACACUAACUUGUUGGAGCUUAACAUUAUCCAGGAAAUAGACGAUGUUAAGGCGAUAAGUAUAUGAAAAGUUAUUUCCUUCACACUGAGGAUCAAGUAUAUGGUUAUUAUCAUGUAAUUGGAACUUAAAAUAUUAUGGUUAACAUCUUUGAUAAUCCUUGAGAAAGACGUAAAGAGGCCACAUUUUGGAUCUUCUGCAGGUGAUGAAAAUGGCAGCAUUUGCAGAAUACAUGAUCAAUUACAAAGUCUGUUGAAUAGUCUGAUUGGAUAUGCAAAUUAUUGUGACAGGCAGAUCACAUUCACGCACAUAUUCCAGAACUAAUUUAUACGUUAAUUUUCCAUAAAAGACAAACAGAGAGUUUGAACCAGUUUGGUGUCAAAUACGGCAACUUCUCUCAAGUGGCGUAAACCCUGAAUUAGCUCAUACGCAAAUCAUAUAAAAAUGUAAAUAAACAAUAAAUUAGCCAAACCAUAAGAAGCAACAAACUUAAUUCCCCGCAAAGAAAUGAAACAUUUUUUUAAG